GAGGGUAUAGCUCAAGUGGUAGAGCGCAUGCUUAGCAUGCAUAAGGUCCUGGGUUCAAUCCCCAGUACCUCCU
rnacentral:tRNA from 1 species